rnacentral:rRNA from 1 species
UACGUAGGGUCCAAGCGUUGUCCGGAUUUAUUGGGCGUAAAGAGCUCGUAGGCGGCUCAGUAAGUCGGAUGUGAAAACUCGGGGCUCAACCCCGAGACGCCAUCCGAUACUGCUGUGGCUUGAGUCUGGUAGGGGAGCACGGAAUUCCUGGUGUAGCGGUGAAAUGCGCAGAUAUCAGGAGGAACACCGAUGGCGAAGGCAGGUCUCUGGGCAUUAACUGACGCUGAGGAGCGAAAGCAUGGGGAGCGAACAGG